rnacentral:rRNA from 1 species
AACGCUGGCGGCGUGCCUAACACAUGCAAGUCGAACGAGAAAGUGGAGCUAUCCAUGAGUAAAGUGGCGACCGGGUGAGUAACACGUGACUAACCUACCUCCGAGUGGGGAAUAACUCCGGGAAACCGGGGCUAAUACCGCAUAACAUCUCAAGAUCAAAGCAGCAAUGCGCUUGGAGAGGGGGUCGCGGCUGAUUAGCUAGUUGGUAGGGUAACGGCCUACCAAGGCGAAGAUCGGUAUCCGGCCUGAUAGGGCGCACGGACACACUGGAACUGAAACACGGUCCAGACUCCUACGGGUGGCAGCAGUGGGGAAUUUUGCGCAAUGGGGGAAACCCUGACGCAGCAACUCCGCGUGGAGGAUGAAGCCCCUUGGGGCGUAAACUCCUUUCGACCAAGAUGAUAAUGACGGUACUGGUGGAAGAAGCACCGGCUAACUCUGUGCCAGCAUCCGCGGUAAUU